GGGGGAUCAGCAGGAGUGAGCCGAUUCUGCAUUAAGAAGCUCCUGCAGAUGCUGAAACUGUUGAUCUGUGAGCCACACUUCAAAUGUUAAGGACAUACUUUGAAGGCCACCUACAUGUGAAGAGAUGUUCAUCACCGUCCCAGCUGGUGGACUGUUCUGCUAGGUUGAGACUGAUAAAAGCUAAAGACAAGAUGCUUCACUCAGUCAAUCACAAGUGCAUAUUUGAGGUGAUGACCGUGAUGAUGCCCCGCGGUCCAGAACUGAUGACAGGAGAGCUCGACUUCCUGUCUUCAGAGGGAUAAUGGGCUUUGGGGAAAGCAAAAACCAGCGGCAGAGCUUAACCAUCAGAGGUAAGAUCCCUAUAACAUCUGUGCUAGGCGUGAAAGCAGAAGUGACCCACAC
rnacentral:lncRNA from 1 species